CUUUGAUCCGCGGAUGUCCGAAUGGGGAAACCCACCGCAUAUGCGGUAUCAAACACUGAAUACAUAGGUGUUUGAGGCAAACCUGGGGAACUGAAACAUCUAAGUACCCAGAGGAAAGGAAAUCGAAUGAGACUCCGUUAGUAGUGGCGAGCGAACGCGGACCAGGCCAGUCGUUUAUUGGUAAAAACCAGAACUGUUUGGAAAAGCAGGACAUAGAGGGUGAUAUCCCCGUAUGGGUAAAAAGCCAGUAGAUGCUCGAGUAGGGCGGGACACGUGAAAUCCUGUCUGAACAUGGGGAGACCACUCUCCAAGCCUAAGUACUCCUCAGUGACCGAUAGUGAACAAGUACCGUGAGGGAAAGGUGAAAAGCACCCCGACAAGGGGAAUGAAAUAGACCUGAAACCAAACGCCUACAAGCAGUCGGAGCAGAACAUGCGCAAGCAUGGGUUUGUGACGGCGUACCUCUUGCAUAAUGAGUCAGCGAGUUCGUUUAUGUAGCAAGCUUAAGCCGAUAGGUGGAGGCGCAGCGAAAGC
rnacentral:rRNA from 1 species